AUGCAAGCACACUCAUGCACAGCCGCGCGCACACACACACUUUAUGUGCUACGGGCCAGGCCAGGCCGUUUAUGUGCUUCGGGCCAGGCCGGGCUUGGGAUUUUUGCUUCUGGCUUUGCCAAGCCUGGCCGGAACCCCGACCCGGUAGCAAUGGCCUCUGCGCAUCCCAAUCGACCCAGACCCCCCGCCAUGCUUCUACUAUUGGCGUUGCUGCAGUUCUCUUUGGGUGCUAGCAAAAUCAAUUGCGCAACGCCCCCUGAUAACAGCACGGAUGUGCUCUGGCUGCAAGCUUUCAAGCAUGGGAUUACUUCUGAUCCCUCCGGAUGGUUCAGCUCUUGGAACUCCAGCGCCAACCACUGCAUGUGCAGCUCCUCCAUAGGGAACCUUACGUUCCUCAGAACCCUGAACCUGUCCAAAAAUAGCUUCUCUGGCCGGUUACCUCCACUGAACCAUCUGCAAAAGAUUCAGGUCCUUGACCUAAGCAGUAACCGGUUGCAUGAUAGUAUCCCAGAUGCAAUUACCAACUGUUCCAGCUUAAGGAAAAUACGCCUCACUACGAACUUCCUAGCAGGUGAAAUUCCUCCAAAAGUAGGCCUCCUCUCCAACCUCAUACUUUUAGGACUAUCUGAUAAUGAUCUCACCGGAACAAUCCCGCCAAUCCUCGGCAAUAUCACAAGCAUGCAAAGACUUGGCGUUUCGUACAAUAAUCUGACUGGACGUAUCCCCGAUGAGCUUGGGAAACUGACAAAUAUGUGGAGGUUGCUCCUAGGAGGAAAUAGCUUGUCAGGUGGAUUCCCACGGUGUCUCUUCAACCUUUCUAAUUCUCUUCAAAUAUUAGGCUUGGAGUCGAAUAUGCUAAGCAAGGAACUGCCUCCUAACAUGGGAGACGACCUACCAAAUCUCCAAAUGCUUUCUUUGCAUGACAACAUGUUUGAAGGUCAAAUUCCGGCUUCACUAGGCAAUGCUACAUGGCUGGAAGAGUUUGCAUUAGGAAAUAACAAUUUAACAGGUACGGUUGGAGAAUGGAUUGGGAAGCUAACACAGUUAAGAGUUCUUUUCCUCUAUGCGAACAGCUUCAUUGGGCCAUUGCCAUCAUCCCUUGGCCAGCUUGCUCAGUUGGAAGAGCUCAAUCUAGGAAAUAACAAUUUAACAGGCCCUAUACCACCCCUUGGUCAGCUUACUCAGUUGGAAGAGCUCAGUCUAGCAAACAAUAAAUUUGAAGGCCCUAUACCACUCCUUGACCAGCUUACUCAGUUGACUUACCUCAAUCUAGGAAACAAUAAAUUUGGAGGAUCUAUACCACCCACCUUAGGGAACUUGCAACAACUCUCGUAUUUAGACCUUAGCCAGAACAAUCUUGAGGGUAACAUACCUAUUCAGCUUAGCAGCCUUACAUCACUUUACAAACUAAACCUUUCGUCAAACAAGCUUACUGGGAAAAUUUCCUGA
rnacentral:rRNA from 1 species